rnacentral:rRNA from 1 species
AGUCGAGCGGAAGGCCCUUCGGGGUACUCGAGCGGCGAACGGGUGAGUAACACGUGAGCAACCUGCCCCUGGCUCUGGGAUAGCCUCCGGAAACGGGGAUUAAUACCGGACAUUCACUCUUCUGGGCAUCCUAGAGGGUGGAAAGUUUUUUCGGCCGGGGAGGGGCUCGCGGCCUAUCAGCUUGUUGGCGGGGUAACGGCCCACCAAGGCGACGACGGGUAGCCGGCCUGAGAGGGCGACCGGCCACACUGGGACUGAGACACGGCCCAGACUCCUACGGGAGGCAGCAGUGGGGAAUAUUGCGCAAUGGGCGGAAGCCUGACGCAGCGACGCCGCGUGGGGGAUGAAGGCCUUCGGGUUGUAAACCCCUUUCACCAGGAGCGAAUCCAGACGGUACCUGGGGAAGAAGCGCCGGCUAACUACGUGCCUGCAGCCGCGGUAAUACGUAGGGCGCAAGCGUUGUCCGGAAUUAUUGGGCGUAAAGAGCUCGUAGGCGGCCUGUCGCGUCCGCUGUGAAAUCCUGGGGCUUAACCCCGGGCGUGCAGUGGAUACGGGCUGGCUAGAGGCAGGCAGGGGAGAACGGAAUUCCCGGUGUAGCGGUGAAAUGCGCAGAUAUCGGGAGGAACACCGGUGGCGAAGGCGGUUCUCUGGGCCUGUUCUGACGCUGAGGAGCGAAAGCGUG